rnacentral:rRNA from 1 species
CGAAGGCAAGCGGAUCUCUUAAAGCUGUUCUCAGUUCGGACUGCAGUCUGCAACUCGACUGCACGAAGCUGGAAUCGCUAGUAAUCGCGGAUCAGCACGCCGCGGUGAAUACGUUCCCGGGCCUUGUACACACCGCCCGUCACACCAUGAGAGUUGGCAAUACCCAACGUACGUGAUCUAACCCGCAAGGGAGGAAGCGUCCUAAGGUAGGGUCAGCGAUUGGGGUGAAGUCGUAACAAGGUAAC